rnacentral:rRNA from 2 species
GGACUACCGGGGUAUCUAAUCCUGUUUGCUCCCCACGCUUUCGUGCCUCAGUGUCAGUAUCAGGCCAGGCAGCCGCCUUCGCCACUGGUGUUCCUUCCGAUAUCUGUGCAUUUCACCGCUACACCGGAAAUUCCACUGCCCUCUCCCGUACUCAAGUCUUGAAGUUUCAUCCGUCAUUCCCGGGUUAAGCCCGGGGCUUCUACAGAUGACUUGCAAAACCACCCGCGCACCCUUUACGCCCAGUAAUUCCGAUUAACGCUCGCACCCUCCGUAUUACCGCGGCUGCUGGCAC